AGCUGAGGUGGGAGCUCCCUCCAGCCGCAUGCUUGCUUCUCACAUGCCCAGUUGCACACCUGCAAAGACGGCCACGUUGGACUGGGUGGCGUCAAAGGGGCAUCGAGCCUGCCCACUCAGCUCCUCACCCUCCUGCUGCAGCGAAGUUAUCUGGGGGCAGAGGGAGCAGAUCCUGGAACCUUUAGGGUCUUGGACUGCGGCACACAGGACUGAAUGAGUUCGUUCCACAGGCGAGGAGCGUCUGGGAGUCCCAGGGAAGAAGAACACGAAUAUAGUUGUAGCACUCGUCCUAGAGAACCCAAAAUUCUAGACCUCUCCCAGCCUCAUCUCCAUGUCUGGACCUCUUCCCACACAGCCCCUCACCUUGUUAGGCACCAGCCCCUCCCCUUCUUCUUGGGCUUGAAGAUCAAAGGAGAAAACGUGAUCCCUGAAGGGGUAUAGAAGGAGGGAUCAGAGCCUAGUCAAGGCACCCCAGCUGAGCUCCUUACCCCCACCUUACCCACUGUCAGCUGUUCAGGGACAAACAGCGCGGACCUUCUGCCCCCUGCCUGCCCCUUAACUCCAUGCCUCGGCAUUUGUGCUCUGGGUCCAAGCAUGUCCACACCCCACGGCUUGUGC